rnacentral:snRNA from 1 species
CUGCUCAUUGUUAUGGUUUUUAU